CCUACGGGGCGCAGCAGUUGAGAAUCAUUCACAAUGGGGGAAACCCUGAUGGUGCGACGCCGCGUGGGGGAAUGAAGGUCUUCGGAUUGUAAACCCCUGUCAUGUGGGAGCAAAUUAAAAAGAUAGUACCACAAGAGGAAGAGACGGCUAACUCUGUGCCAGCAGCCGCGGUAAUACAGAGGUCUCAAGCGUUGUUCGGAAUCACUGGGCGUAAAGCGUGCGUAGGCUGUUUCGUAAGUCGUGUGUGAAAGGCGCGGGCUCAACCCGCGGACGGCACAUGAUACUGCGAGACUAGAGUAAUGGAGGGGGAACCGGAAUGCUCGGUGUAGCAGUGAAAUGCGGAGAUAGCGAGAGGAACACUCGUGGCGAAGGCGGGUUCCUGGACAUUAACUGACGCUGAGGCACGAAGGCCAGGGGAGCGAAAGGGAUUAGAUACCCGAGUAGUC
rnacentral:rRNA from 1 species